GACGGGAGCUUGCUCCCUUAGGUCAGCGGCGGACGGGUGAGUAACACGUGGGUAACCUGCCUGUAAGACUGGGAUAACUCCGGGAAACCGGGGCUAAUACCGGAUGCUUGAUUGAACCGCAUGGUUCAAUCAUAAAAGGUGGCUUUUAGCUACCACUUACAGAUGGACCCGCGGCGCAUUAGCUAGUUGGUGAGGUAACGGCUCACCAAGGCGACGAUGCGUAGCCGACCUGAGAGGGUGAUCGGCCACACUGGGACUGAGACACGGCCCAGACUCCUACGGGAGGCAGCAGUAGGGAAUCUUCCGCAAUGGACGAAAGUCUGACGGAGCAACGCCGCGUGAGUGAUGAAGGUUUUCGGAUCGUAAAACUCUGUUGUUAGGGAAGAACAAGUACCGUUCGAAUAGGGCGGUACCUUGACGGUACCUAACCAGAAAGCCACGGCUAACUACGUGCCAGCAGCCGCGGUAAUACGUAGGUGGCAAGCGUUGUCCGGAAUUAUUGGGCGUAAAGCGCGCGCAGGCGGUUUCUUAAGUCUGAUGUGAAAGCCCCCGGCUCAACCGGGGAGGGUCAUUGGAAACUGGGGAACUUGAGUGCAGAAGAGGAGAGUGGAAUUCCACGUGUAGCGGUGAAAUGCGUAGAGAUGUGGAGGAACACCAGUGGCGAAGGCGACUCUCUGGUCUGU
rnacentral:rRNA from 1 species